rnacentral:rRNA from 1 species
UACAGAGGGUGCGAGCGUUGUUCGGAAUUAUUGGGCGUAAAGGGCGCGUAGGCGGUGCGGUAAGUCACCUGUGAAAUCUCCUGAGCUCAACUGGGAGCUUGCAGGCGAAACUGCCGUGCUGGAGUGUGGGAGAGGUGCGUGGAAUUCCUGGUGUAGCGGUGAAAUGCGUAGAUAUCAGGAGGAACACCUGUGGCGAAAGCGGCGCACUGGACCACAACUGACGCUGAGGCGCGAAAGCGUGGGGAGCGAACAGG